GUCUGGAGCAAAACUGCUGAGGUUUGAGGCCCCGUUUUGCUGCUCACUAGCUACAUGAUCUUGGGCAAGUUAUUUAAGCUCUCUGAGCUUCAGUUUCUUCCUCUGCAGAAUGGGGAUGAAAGUGGACUACUACCUCAUGGCAUGUUUUGAGGAUGAAAUGAGCUAAUAAACACAGUCUUCAGCCCUACAUUAGGAUGGCCUAAGGAAAACAAGAAGACUGAAUGAUAUUCCCUGGCAACCUGGCGGUUCCCCGCUCCAGGGAGGUCACCCUCUUGAUGCUGAAUUUAGCACGGACACCUGAUGGGCACAGUGCACUGCAGCCCAGAGCUCCUGAGCUCAAGCCAUCCUCCUGCCUCAGCCUCCAAGUAGCCAGGACCACAGGCACGCACCCUGAGGAGGAAGAAAUACCAGGUGCGCAUGCUCCAAGAAAAAGCCAUCUGAGGACGCGGCAAGAAGGCCGCCAUCUACAAGCCAAGGAGAGGGGCCUCAGGAGAAAUCGAACCUGUCACACCUUGAUCUUGGACUUCCAGCCUUCAGAACUGUGAGAAAGUAAAUUUCUGUGUUCAAGCUACCAGGUCUGUGGGAUUUUUUAUGGCAGCCCUAGCAGACUAAGACAGGCAUCAAUGGUUCCAAUGUUUUCAUUUUUUUUCCGGUAAGCAGACCGAAGCCCAGAGAGAUGAAGCAAUUUGCCCAAAGUCACAUACCAAGUUAACUGAAGAGUUGGGGUUAGAAUCCAGCUCUUGUGACUUCUCUCUUUUCAGUUUCCCUUCCCACUCCCCCCACUGAAAAGCUUUUGAGUGACUCUUUUAGAAAUCCCGGUUCUGUAUAUGAAGCAGAAUUGAGCACAGCUGCUCUAAUGAAGGGCUCAGAGCUCCCAGGCUUUUCUCUCUCCCCUGCCCCUUUUCCCUGUUGCACCUCUGCAGUGUCCUGAGGGUUGAUGGAAUCUAGUUUGAAAGCUAUUGCUCUACCUCACUGCCUCCUGAAUGCAAUGUCACAAAUUUUCCCAACUUGCCAUUUCUCUCACACUGACAUAAAGCAUUAGAAACCUGUUGUGAAGUAGGAAAGCUAACUGGGUCAGUAGCUGAUAAGAUAAUCUGGCCUAGGGGAUAGAUGAUUAGGAUUUCAGAGAAGGAAAGGUCACCCAAUUGAUUUGACUCUGUCCUGGGGCGAUGAUAUGGUGAAGAUUUCUACAGAUGCAGCAGAAACAUCCGGAAACCAGGUGUGUCCCAGCUCUGGUCUGGGAACCAUUUCAUAAAUUGGCAAAUAUCCAGGAUAUACACAUGGCUAAUUCUGAGGUGUACUGAAGUUUCAAUAAAGCUACUUUGGUAAUGACUAGGAGAAGAAAAUCCUAUGGCUGGACUUCAUUAAUGUUGUAUGGCCAAGGACAGUGUUUCUCUAAUUAUGGCCUGUGAACCUCCCUGGAUCUCGAUCACCUGCAUAUUUGGGAAUAUGCAGGUUCCAGGGUCCCACCUGAAACUACAGAAUCAGUAUUGAGAUCCCAGGUGAUUCUCAUGUACACUCAAGUGUAAGAUUAUUAGCACCUGGACUUUGGAAGCAGCCAGAUAAAAGUUUGGAUCCUGGGUUGGCUACUUCCUAGAUGUGGCCAAGUCAUUUUACUUGCCAUGCUUUUGCUUUUCUUGUCUGUAAAGUGGACAUGAUACCUAUUUUACAGGGUGGUUUUGAGGAAUAAGGUCAGCAUUAAACAUUUAUCCUCUUUAGGGAGACAGAGAGAGGAGAUGAAAUAGAGUAGAAUUGAGAAAAGCAGUUUCUUAGACCUCCCUGUGAAGUUUUUCUUAUUUCAACAAAUAAUAAAAUAAAAAAUUCAUACACUUAAAAAAAAAAAAAAAAAAAAAAAAAAAAAAAAAAAAAAAAAAAAAAAAAAAAAAAAAAAAAAAAAAAAAAAAAAAAAAA
rnacentral:lncRNA from 1 species